AGUCGAAGGUAACAUUGGUGCUUGCACCAAAUGACGAGUGGCGCACGGGAGCGUAACGCGUAUGCAACCUACCUUUUACUAGAGUAUAGCCCAGAGAAAUUUGGAUUAAUCCUCUAUAAUAUCUUUUAAUUUCAUGAUUAAUUGAUUAAAGUUUUAACGGUAAAAGAUGGGCAUGCGUCCUAUUAGUUUGUAGGUGAGGUAACGGCUCACCUAGACUACGAUAGGUAGGGGCCCUGAGAGGGGGAUCCCCCACACUGGUACUGAGACACGGACCAGACUCCUACGGGAGGCAGCAGUAAGGAAUAUUGGACAAUGGACGAAAGUCUGAUCCAGCCAUGCCGCGUGCAGGAUGAAAGCCCUAUGGGUUGUAAACUGCUUUUAUACAGGAAGAAACACUCCGACUUGUCGGAGCUUGACGGUACUGUAAGAAUAAGGAUCGGCUAACUCCGUGCCAGCAGCCGCGGUAAUACGGAGGAUCCAAGCGUUAUCCGGAAUCAUUGGGUUUAAAGGGUCCGCAGGCGGUCUUUUAAGUCAGAGGUGAAAGCCUACAGCUCAACUGUAGAACGGCCUUUGAUACUGAAAGACUUGAGUUAUUGUGAAGUGGUUAGAAUGUGUGGUGUAGCGGUGAAAUGCAUAGAUAUCACACAGAAUACCGAUUGCGAAGGCAGAUCACUAACAAUAUACUGACGCUCAUGGACGAAAGCGUGCGGAGCGAACAGGAUUAGAUACCCUGGUAGUCCACGCCGUACACGAUGGAUACUAGCUGUUCGUCUAACAUUGGUUGGAUGAGUGGCUAAGCGAAAGUGAUAAGUAUCCCACCUGGG
rnacentral:rRNA from 1 species